UACGUAGGGUGCGAGCGUUGUCCGGAAUUAUUGGGCGUAAAGAGCUCGUAGGCGGUGUGUCACGUCGUUCGUGAAAACCUGCAGCUUAACUGUGGGCGUGCGGUCGAUACGGGCAUCACUGGAGUUCGGCAGGGGAGACUGGAAUUCCUGGUGUAGCAGUGAAAUGCGCAGAUAUCAGGAGGAACACCGGUGGCGAAGGCGGGUCUCUGGGCCGAUACUGACGCUGAGGAGCGAAAGCGUGGGGAGCAAACAGG
rnacentral:rRNA from 1 species